rnacentral:sRNA from 1 species
GCCAGGUGCAGUGGCACACGCCUGUAAUCCCAGUGGCUUCGGAGGCUGAGACAGGAGGAUCACAAGUUCAAAGCCAGCGUCAGCAAAAGUGAAGCGCUAAGCAACUCAGUGAGACCCUGUCUUUA